AUUAAUCAAGUGUUGAAAUUCGAUCAAGAUCUUAAUUCUGUUGAAGUUCAAAGUAGUAGUGCAGGUACGGUAAAGGUAAUUGGAAGUUCAUUUUGAAUGUGUAUGGAGAUAUUUUGGUUGAGAGAACUGAGGUUGAUUUGAAGGAUAAAUGGAGAAACAUGACAACACGUGGCUUAUGUUUUAUUUUGGGAAAACACGUGGCUUAUGUUUUAUUUUGGGAAAACACGUGGCUUAUGUUUUAUUUUGGGAAAACACGUGGCUUAUGUUUUAUUUUGGGAAAACAAGUGGCUUAUGUUUUAUUUUGCGAAAACAAGUGACUUAUGUUUUAUUUUGGGAAAACACGUGGCUUAUGUUACC